rnacentral:misc_RNA from 1 species
UUUCCGUAGGUGAACCUGCGGAAGGAUCAUUACCACACCAAUCUCGGGGUCAUUUCGGCGACUCCGUUUCCGUUACGUGGAAACAACAUUUCUUUGGGGAGCUGCUAGUGUAGCCUUGUGCUCUGCCAGUCACUCGCCCAUCUCCGAGGGCGCAAGCUCGAGGAACAUUUUCAUCCGCUUGAGCAAUCAAGUGUGAUACACCAAAACACCAUGAUCGUGACGAUUCAUAGGUGCUGUUUCGGCAGUGCCGUGCUAUGAAACGUAAAUAACACUUUCAGCAACGGAUGUCUUGGCUCCC